rnacentral:rRNA from 1 species
GAAAGUAAGCAAGGGCAGACGGUGGAUGCCUUGGCUCUCGGAGGCGACGAAGGACGUGAUAAGCUGCGAAAAGCCCGGGGGAGGCGCAAAUAGCCCUUGAUCCCGGGAUAUCCGAAUGGGGCAACCCGGCAGGUUGAAGGCCUGUCAUCCCGUAAGGGAGGCGAACGUGGGGAACUGAAACAUCUAAGUACCCAUAGGAGGAGAAAAUAAACAAUGAUUCCGUAAGUAGUGGCGAGCGAACACGGAAGAGCCCAAACCCAUGUCGUCUAGGCGACACGGGGGUUGUAGGACCACGACGUGGCAAGAUAGAGUCAAGUGGAACGCCUUGGAAAGGGCGACCGUAGAGGGUGAUAGUCCCGUACACGACUGACGAUUGAAGCCUAGUGGUAUCCUGAGUAGCGCGGGGCACGAGAAAUCUUGCGUGAAACAGCGGGGCCCAUCCCGUAAGGCUAAAUACUCCCGAGAGACCGAUAGCGAACCAGUACCGUGAGGGAAAGGUGAAAAGAACCCCGAGCAGGGGAGUGAAAUAGACCCUGAACCCGUCUGCCUACAAGCGGUCGGAGCGUCGUAAUGACGUGACGGCGUGCCUUUUGCAUAAUGAACCUACGAGUUACCUUCCCCGGCAAGGUUAAGUUCUUGAGGAACGGAGCCGAAGCGAAAGCGAGUCUGAACAGGGCGCCAAGUCGGGGGGGGUAGACGCGAAACCGAGUGAUCUACCCUUGGCCAGGUUGAAGGUUGGGUAACACCAACUGGAGGACCGGAUGGGUAAGCGUUGAAAAGCUUUCCAAUGAGCUGAGGGUAGGGGUGAAAGGCUAAUCAAACUCGGAGAUAGCUCGUACUCCCCGAAAUGCAUUUAGGUGCAGCCUCUUUAUAGUAUAUCGUGAGGUAGAGCGACUGAUUGGAUGCGAGGGCUUCACCGCCUAUCAAGUCCAGAUAAACUCCGAAUGCGCGAUAUAUAUUUACAGGGAGUGAGGGCGCGGGUGCUAAGGUCCGUGUCCGAGAGGAGAAGAAUCCAGACCACCGGCUAAGGCCCCCAAAUGAUCGUUAAGUUGAACUAACGAGGUCGGAUCGCAGAGACAGCUAGGAUGUUGGCUUGGAAGCAGCCAUUCAUUUAAAGAGUGCGUAACAGCUCACUAGUCGAGCGAUCUGGCGUGGAUAAUAAUCGGGCAUAAACGAUCUGCCGAAGCCGUGGAUGUCGCAAGACAUGGUAGGGGAGCAUUCCAUGCCGCGUCGAAGAUGAGGGAUGACCCUUGUUGGAGCGCAUGGAAAAGCAAAUGUAGGUAUGAGUAACGAUAAGGGGGGCGAGAAACCCCCCCGCCGAAAGACCAAGGUUUCCUGAUCAACGCUAAUCGGAUCAGGGUGAGUCGGGACCUAAGGCAAAGCCGAACGGCGCCGCCGAUGGAAGAAUGGGUUAAUAUUCCCAUACUGCCUCAUGGAGUGACGUGGAGACGGAGAAGUGACAGUCCUGCCGGCUGACGGAAUAGCCGGUUGAAGGGUGUAGAUAUUGAUUCCCGUAGGCAAAUCCGCGGGGAGAGUCGAACCUGAGAGUAUACGGAGCGCUUGCGCAACGUAAUAUGGACGUAACCAUGCUCCCGAGAAAAUCCGCUAAACUUAUCCAUGCGGCACCCGUACCGUAAACGGACACACGUGGUCGGGUUGAGAAUACUGAGGCGCUCGAGUGAUUCACGGUUAAGGAACUAGGCAAAUUGACCCUGUAACUUCGGGAUAAAGGGUCCUCGUCGUAAGGCGAGGCGCAGAGAAUAGGUCCAGGCAACUGUUUAACAAAAACACAUGGCUGUGCGAAAUGGAAACAUGAGGUAUACAGCCUGACACCUGCCCGGUGCCGGAAGGUUAAGAGGAGAUGUCAUCCGCGAGGAGAAGCGUUGAAUUGAAGCCCCGGUAAACGGCGGCCGUAACUAUAACGGUCCUAAGGUAGCGAAAUUCCUUGUCGGGUAAGUUC